GUAGUCAGGCACUCAUUACCUGUUUGAACUUUUCAGUUUCAAUGUAAACAUGCAAUUUAAGGCCCUACCACAAGAUGGUGCAGAGUCACAGUAAACGUAAAGUUAAAGGCAGCCGUUACUUAUAACAUACUAUGUCUGUAAAAGGCUGGUAAACGGAUGGUUUGGCUCUACUUAUUUGCCGGCUGCCUGUACUCUAAAUAUAGAAACAGAGGAGCACAGUGACAGAACUCAUC